GAUGAACGCUGGCGGCGUGCCUAAUACAUGCAAGUCGAGCGAACGGACGAGAAGCUUGCUUCUCUGAUGUUAGCGGCGGACGGGUGAGUAACACGUGGAUAACCUACCUAUAAGACUGGGAUAACUUCGGGAAACCGGAGCUAAUACCGGAUAAUAUUUUGAACCGCAUGGUUCAAAAGUGAAAGACGGUCUUGCUGUCACUUAUAGAUGGAUCCGCGCUGCAUUAGCUAGUUGGUAAGGUAACGGCUUACCGAGGCAACGAUGCAUAGCCGACCUGAGAGGGUGAUUGGCCACACUGGAACUGAGACACGGUCCAGACUCCUACGGGAGGCAGCAGUAGGGAAUCUUCCGCAAUGGGCGAAAGCCUGACGGAGCAACGCCGCGUGAGUGAUGAAGGUCUUCGGAUCGUAAAACUCUGUUAUUAGGGAAGAACAUAUGUGUAAGUAACUGUGCACAUCUUGACGGUACCUAAUCAGAAAGCCACGGCUAACUACGUG
rnacentral:rRNA from 1 species